rnacentral:rRNA from 1 species
AGAUUGAACGCUAGCGGGAUGCUUUACACAUGCAAGUCGAACGGCAGCGCGGACUUCGGUCUGGCGGCGAGUGACGAACGGGUGAGUAAUAUAUCGGAACGCGCCCAGUAGCGGGGGAUAACUACGCGAAAGCGUGGCUAAUACCGCAUACGCCCUACGGGGGAAAGGGGGGGAUCGCAAGACCUCUCACUAUUGGAGCGGCCGAUAUCAGAUUAGCUAGUUGGUGAGGUAAAGGCUCACCAAGGCGACGAUCUGUAGCUGGUUUGAGAGGACGACCAGCCACACUGGGACUGAGACACGGCCCAGACCUCCGUACGGGAGGCAGCAGGUGGGGAAUUUUGGACAAGUGGGGGAAACCCUGAUCCAGCCAUCCCGCGUGUGCGAUGGAAGGCCGUUGGGUUGUAAAGGCUACGUUUGGCGUAGGAAGAAACGGCGUGACCCGUAAGUACCGGACGUACACGUGUACCGUAC